GACGAACGCUGGCGGCGUGCUUAACACAUGCAAGUCGAACGGAAAGGCCCUGCUUUUGUGGGGUGCUCGAGUGGCGAACGGGUGAGUAACACGUGAGUAACCUGCCCUUGACUUUGGGAUAACUUCAGGAAACUGGGGCUAAUACAGGAUAGGAGCUCCUGCUGCAUGGUGGGGGUUGGAAAGUUUCGGCGGUUGGGGAUGGACUCGCGGCUUAUCAGCUUGUUGGGGGGGUAGUGGCUUACCAAGGCUUGGACGGGUAGCCGGCCUGGGAGGGUGACCGGCCACAUUGGGCCUGCGAUACGGCCCAGACUCCUACGGGAGGCAGCAGGCGGGAAUCUUGCACAAUGGGCGGAAGCCUGUUGCAGCAACCCCGCGUGCGGGAUGACGGCCUUCGGGUUGUAAACCGCUUUCGCCUGUGACGAAGCUUGAGUGACGGUACUGGGUAAAGAAGCACCGGCUAACUACGUG
rnacentral:rRNA from 1 species